rnacentral:rRNA from 1 species
UCAGACGAUGCGUCAUGCAUAUCAAUAAGCGGAGGAAAAGAAACUAACAAGGAUUCCCCUAGUAACGGCGAGUGAAGCGGGAAGAGCUCAAAUUUGAAAUCUUAAAGGGUUUCCCUUUACGAAUUGUAGUUUAAAGAAGUGUUUUCUGUUGAGGUUUUGGUAAAAGUUCUUUGGAAUAGGACAUCAUAGAGGGUGAGAAUCCCGUAUUUGACCUUUACUUUCAACUUUGUGAUACACUUUCAAAGAGUCGGAUUGUUUGGGAAUGCAGUCCAAAAUGGGUGGUAAAUUUCAUCUAAAGCUAAAUAUUGGCGAGAGACCGAUAGCGAACAAGUACCGUGAGGGAAAGAUGAAAAGAACUUUGAAAAGAGAGUUAAACAGUACGUGAAAUUGUCAAAAGGGAAGUGUUUGACACCAGUGUUGUUUUUCUGAAAAUCAAUUAAAGAACUGUUUAUGCUAAGCUGUUUAGACUUUAUCAGCUAUCUGUUUAGUUUUGAGCUUUUCUUUAAUGCACUUUUCAGUUAACAAGUCAACAUCAAUUUCUUUUGCUGUGAAAAAAGCUUGAGGGAAGGUGGCUUGAGAUUCGUCUUAAGUGUUUAUAGCCUCUUGCCUAUGCAGUCGGAGAGAUUGAGGUCUGCAGCGUAGAUCCUUCGGGGCUAAAUGCAUUUGUGCUAAGUUAUAGCAUUUUAUAGACAACUUGUUGACUAUGAUUUGUCUUGUAGCUUACUCGCUUAUGUUAUUUUACCUACGCUUAGGAUGUUGAAUCUGUGCGAGACUAC